rnacentral:lncRNA from 1 species
CCCCUGUUGGCAUAUUUGAGUCUAUGGUCGGGAGAAUGGUCUACGGAGGCAGUGACAAUAGCUUACUGGAAUUGAGUGGCUUUAGUAUGGAUAUAUUCCUGAUCUGCCUGUGAGAUUCUGCUGUGCCAAACCCUUCCUUCAGAACAAUAACAUGAAGAUGAAAGAGGUCGAUCCGCUCUGAUGCAUGUAUUCUCUCUGGCAUGGGACUAGAUUUACCUCAUGCUUCCUAAAGCGAGAAGCAAAAUUCAGUAGAAGCUGGUUGGAAGGGUUGGGGAGACCAAAUGGAAGGGUAAAGAAGAGCAGACCUUGUCCUCCUACCCCUGUGCCUCAAGUCUGAAGCGGAACCAAGAGAAACAGUGGUGUGGCUUUACUCAGGGUCAGCAGGCCUGGCCUCUGGUGUGAACCCAGGCAAAGUGCUCCCCAUCCUGGAGGGAAGGGUUAAGGACCAGCGGCAAGUCUGUCCUUUGGUCUGAGAUGCUACGUGGCAGACAACAAGGUAUCCCGCUACCUUCAGCAUCAGACGCGGCAUCCGGUGGCUGC